UCCUGUUAAGUCAGGCAACGAGCGAGACCCACGCCCACAGUUGCCAGCGUACUCUCUGGAGUGACGGGUACACUGUGGGGACCGCCGCUGCUAAAGCGGAGGAAGGAAUGGGCAACGGUAGGUCAGUAUGCCCCGAAUAUCCCGGGCUACACGCGAGCUACAAUGGUUGGUACAAUGGGUAUCUACCCCGAAAGGGGACGGGAAUCUCCUAAACCAAUCUUAGUUCGGAUUGAGGGCUGCAACUCGCCCUCAUGAAGCUGGAAUCCGUAGUAAUCGCGUUCAACAGAACGCGGUGAAUACGUCCCUGCUCCUU
rnacentral:rRNA from 1 species